rnacentral:tRNA from 1 species
GGGCGGUUAGCUCAGCUGGUCAGAGCGCCUGCCUUACACGCAGGAGGUCGCAGGUUCGAGCCCUGCACCGCCCA